UUAAAUUAAAUUUGUAUAGAGUUGGAAAGUUUACCUACGUUUGCCGCUAGGGGCGCUGUUUCAACUGCAUACACAUUCGAGUUA
rnacentral:pre_miRNA from 1 species